rnacentral:rRNA from 1 species
AAGGUUUCGUAAGUCCUUCGGCGUCACGGAUGAACGGCGUGGCGGCGGUAGCCUAACACACUGCAAGUCGAACGGGGCGCGCAGGCUGAGGCUUUCGGAGCGGAGCCGGCGCUGCCCAGUGGCGGACGGGUGGAGUAACGCGUGGGCGAACCUGCCCUGCACUGGGGGACAACAGCCGGAAACGGCUGCUAAUACCGCAUAUGCCCGCAGCCCCGCAUGGGCGGCGGGGGAAGCUCCGGCGGUGCAGGAUGGGCCCGCGUCUGAUUAGCUGGUUGGCGGGGCAACGGCCCACCAAGGCGACGAUCAGUAGCCGGCCUGAGAGGGUGGGCGGCCGCAUUGGGACUGAGACACGGCCCAGACUCCUACGGGAGGCAGCAGUGGGGGAUAUUGCACAAUGGGGGGAACCCUGAUGCAGCGACGCCGCGUGGGCGAUGGAGUGCUUCGGCAUGUAAAGCCCUAUCAGCAGGGAAGAAAAUGACGGUACCUGACUAAGGAGCCCCGGCUAAAUACGUG